UGUAAAUUAGUAAAAGCUAUAACACCAAGUCACCGAGCAUUUGCUCCGCUGAAGUGCAGAUGCUUCACUCACAUCCGUCCAUGACAAUGGCAGCAUUUCCCCUUGUCGUCUGUGCCAUCACGGCGCUCUUUUGCCCUCCUCUCUCAUCUGCCUCUUCUUCAUCGAUUUGUGCUGCGAACACGCACGGCCAUGGCAGAACGGCUUACCACUUCCAGCCCGCGAAGAACUGGCAGAACGGUAUGUAUACGCUCAUGUUGUUGUGAAUUGGUCCAGUCACAGACUUUGGUGAAUUAUCUCUUACGGAUGUGGAACCACUCAUGUGGAUGAGAAAACCAUGGACACGACGGGUGCUUACAGAUCCGAAUGGGCCCGUGCACUACAACGGCAUGUAUCACUUGUUCUACCAGUACAACCCUCACGGCAGUGACGGAGCCACGUUAUAGACUGUUAAAAAGUUAACUCAUGGAACAUUGAGAAAUUUGGUGUGCUUCGACGAAACUUGCUACAGGUCGCACGACAAGUCCACACCAAACAUUUCGAUCUGAUCAGUCAAGCUAAUUGAUGCUUUGGCUUGGAAAGUAAGCCCCAUUUGCUUCGUUGCAAGUCAAUUGGAAGGUACAAGCUAGUUAAACUCAUUCAAAAUGCACGAGUAUUUCGUACUUUUCAUCAUCUCCGUUUCUUAAUCACAGUCAUCUGUCAGAUAGAGUUUAAUUUUAGCCUCUUUUCAGCAAUCCAAAUUGACUUCACUGCUCCGUGUAUGGUCUAAUUGGUUCGAUAAAAUUAGCGGGCGGAUAAGAUGGUGGUGACGCGUUGCUACACGUACUAGUUAGCAGCGAGGCUGCGUUAGCACGGGUCGAUUGAGCUCUUGAGUUCUCAGCAAGAAAUUCGAUCGCGUUUGUUAUUUUUGGAAGUAAAGUCUCU